UCAUAGAAUUUUUUUAAAUUCAUGAUGUCGUAAGGGAAAAUAAUGAUAAUACCUUACUAUGAGUGUCGUCCAAAACUGGUGCCAGAAGACUCGGUAAGACCAGAGACGCAAACGUUAAUCAUCAUAAACAGGCGUAAAGGGUUUGUAGGCAGCUUUUAUAAGGUUAUGAUUGCACAAAAAGAAAGGGUAAUCUACAUUGAAAGCUAGAAUCAAAAAGAGGUUAUAGUGUAUAACGCCUAGAGGAGGGCUGAUAUCCAUAGAUCCUAGGCAGAAUACUCAGGGCGAAGGCCACUCUCCACUAAUGAUUGACGCUGAGAAACGAAGGUUAGGGUAGGAAAUAGGAUUAGAUACCCCGGUACUCCUUUCUGUAAACGAUGAAUGGUAGUCAUUAGUUUAAUUUAAAUAACUAGAGGCGAAGUUAACACAAUAACCAUUCCGCCUUGUGAGUACUACUGCAAAGUAGAAAACAAAAAAAUUAGUCGGUCUCGAAGCAAACGGAGUGAAGCAUGUUAUUUA
rnacentral:rRNA from 2 species